CUGAUAGGCCUAAAAACUGAAGUUCUGUGUUUAAUCACGGAGCAGGUACAGCACAGGCACCAGCAGUGAAAGCAUUCCCAUGCUCCCUUCCCAGUGAUUUUGACGUCCUGUGACUAGCACUACAGGAGAGAAGAGAGUUCAGAUCUCCAAUGCUUGGCCUAU
ensembl:misc_RNA